UCAAAACGACUCUCGGCAACGGAUAUCUCGGCUCUCGCAUCGAUGAAGAACGUAGCGAAAUGCGAUACUUGGUGUGAAUUGCAGAAUCCCGUGAACCAUCGAGUCUUUGAACGCAAGUUGCGCCCGAAGCCUUCUGGCCGAGGGCACGCCUGCCUGGGCGUCA
rnacentral:rRNA from 1 species